rnacentral:misc_RNA from 1 species
AACGCACAUUGCGCCCGCCAGUAUUCUGGCGGGCAUGCCUGUCCGAGCGUCAUUUCAACCCUCAGGCCCCCAGUGCCUGGCGUUGGGGAUCGGCGUGGCGUCCUCCGGGACGCUGCCGGCCCCGAAAUUCAGUGGCGGUCUCGCUGUAGCCCUCCUCCGCGUAGUAGCACAACCUCGCGGCCUGGAGCUCGGCGGUGGCCAUGCCGUAAAACACCCCACUUCUGAAAGUUGACCUCGGAUCAGGUAGGAAUACCCGCUGAACUUAA